GCAGGUUUGAAGCAGCUUCAUCUCAUUCCUGAUUCAUCCUGUUCCCCUCAGUGGCUUGCUCCUGCAUUAGCAAUGUAAAACUGGCCCCAAUGGGUUUCUAACUGGUCAGAAGUUGCUCCUGAUUAGUUCAAAUCUUUUGUGACAAGAAAAAAUCAGCUCUGACCAGUUGAAAUCGAUUUUGACCAGUUGAAAGCUAAUUCUGCAGAGCUGGAGCCUGAGGUCGGUAAACCCAGGAAGAUGGCUGAAGACUAUGCUGAUUCAAGCCAAAGCAAGGAACCAGGUCUACAGUGAGGCACUUCAGGUGAUUCUGAUGCAGGUUGUCCUUGACAAUGCUCUGGGAACUAUUAUCCAUGUGGAGAGAACUGCAUCCUGUCCAUCUUCAUCCCUGGCAAUGACUAGCCCCAUGCUGCCCUGCUUCACUGCAGAAUGUAGCCAGAAAGUGGCUGUAGGAUAUCUGCAGCUCCAUUUCAUUUCCUGAUUUCCAACAUCUGGAUUUUAUGGAAAAGGAGUUCACAAUUGAAAGAGUUUGCCUUGAGUCUCAGAGGAGACAUUGGACUUGGAGUUUUGAGCAAUACAGGAAUGUAAGACCCUGAGACUCUGGGGAAUAGAAUUAAUACAUUUUGCAUUGUGAGAUAGACAUGAGUCCUUGGAGACCAGGAGUGAAAUGUUAUGGUUUAAAUGUGGUUGAGUGUCUGCCAAGAGUCCAUUGUGAUUGAAUACUUGGUCUAAAGGUUGAUGCUAUUGGGAGAUGAUGGAUCCUUUGGGGGGUUCGGGAGGUCCUUGGGUCACUAUGGGCAUGGGGUAUUUCUCAUGCAACCCCAUCAAUAAUUUUCACAAGAGGGUUGUUAUAAAAGAAGGAAGCCUGGACUCACCCAUUCUCUUUCUCUUUGCUCAUGCUUGAGAUAUGACAGCUGGCUCCUGUAUGUAUUUAUUCCUACCAUGAUAUGCCACCAUUUGUAACCUUAACCAGAGGCCAAACUUAAUGGGGGUCACACAAUCUUGGACUUUGUGCCUCCCUAAAUAUAAAUUAAAUAAACCUUUUUUUCUUUAUAAAGUUACCUGCCUCAGGUAUUCUGUUAAUAAUGAUGAAAAUAUGACUAAUAAAACUGGACAUAUAAAUGUACAGGAAUAAAACUGAACACAUAUCUCUCACUUAGAUACAAAUAUUAAUACAAAAUUGAUCAACAAUUUAACAAAGACCUGAAGAUUUAAAACAACUUGAAGAAAACAUAGGGGAAAAGCUCAAUGACAUUGAUUUUUGGACAACAAUUUUUGGAUAUGAACCCCAAAUCACAGGCAACAAACAGGAAAAUAGACAAAUAGGAUUACAUCAAAUAAUAGUUUAUACAAAAUGAAGAUAAUAAGCAAUAGAGUUAAGAUAAAACUUAUGGGAUGAGAGAAUGUGUUUGAUAAAGGGUUACUAAUUAGGAACACAAAUAACUGAACAGCAGAAAACAACUAAACUGAUUACAACCUGGGCAAAGCAUGUGAGUAGUCAUUUCUCAAAAGAAGGCAUAAAAGUGUUCAACAGAGAUGUGAAAAAAUAUUCAACAUCACUAUUUAUUAGUGAUAUUCAAAUUAAAACCACAAUGAGAUAUCAACUCAUGCCUGUUAAAAUUUCUACUACUAAAAAGUCAGAAGACAAAUGCUGUUGAGGGUGUGGAAGAAAGUGAACCCUGGCAAAUGCUUGAUGAGAAUGCAAAUUAUCAGAGCCAUUAUGGAAAAUAAUGUAGAAAUUUCUCAACAAAUUAAAAAUAAAAUAGCCUAUGAUCCAGCCAUACCCCUACUGGAUAUAUAUCCAAAGGAAAUGUUGAAGAGAUAUCUGCACUCCCACGUUCAUUUCAGCAUUAUUCACAAUAGCCAAGAUAUGAAAUCACCCUUAGUGUCUAUUGAUAAAUGAAUAAAGAAAAUGUGUAAAAUAACUAAAUAUGUAAACAUUAAACAAACAAGCGUGUGCGCGCACACGCGCGCGCACACACACACACACACAAGAAUGCUAUUCAGUCUUUAAAAACAGAAGUCCUGUCAUCUGUGACAAUUUGCAUGAAACUGGAGGAUAUUAUAUUAAAUAAGUCAGGAGCAGAAGGAAAAAUUCUGCAUAAAGUCACUUAUCUGUGGGCUCUGAUAUAGUUGAACUCAUAGAAGAGUAAACUGUUUGUACCAUGGACCUCAACCAGGCAGGGCUAGGGAGUUGGGGAAAUGUUGGUCAAACAAUACAAAAUUAUAGUUAGAUAGGAGGAACAAUUUCAAGAGCUAUAUUGUAUAAAAGAUGGUGACUAUGUUUACAAAGAUGUAUGGCAUUCUUUGGAGGGGGGGUUCCAACAGAAAGACUUUAUUAAAGAAAAAGGAAAGAUUAAUUUUUUUUUUUUUUAGUUAUGAUGAUAGAACACCAGAAUACACUUCGGCAUAAUCACAAAAGCAUGGAACACAGCCUGCUCUGAUUCAGUCCUCAGCACUUUCCCAUCACCCCCUAUGCCCCUUCCUCCAUUCCACCAAUCCCUCUUUAAUCCAUUUACAAGUCAUUUUUAUUCCCUCACCCCCUUAUGUUUGAAUAGCUUCCACAUACCAGAAAAAAUAUUCAACUUUUGACUUUUGGGGACUGGCUAAUUUCACUUAGCAUGAUUUCUCCAGUUCCAACCAUUUACUGGAAAAUGCCAUAAUGUCAUUCUUCUUUAUGGCUGAGUAAUACUCCAUUGUGUAUAUGUAUCACAUUUUUCUUUCCCGAUUCAUCUGUUGAAGGCUACCUAGGUUUGUUCCAUAGCAUAGUUAUUGUGAAAUGUGCUACUAUAAACAUUGAUGUGGCUGCAUCAUUGUAACAUGCUGAUUUUCAAUCUUUUGAAUAUAUACCAAGGACUGAGAUGGCUAGGUCAAAUGGUAAUUCCAUUCCUAGAAUUUUGAGGAAUCUCCAUACUGCUUUCCAGAGUGGUUGCACUAAUUUACAGUUCCAUCAAUAAUGUAUGGGUGUGCUUUUAUUUCACACAUUCUCACCAACAUUUAUUGUUAAUUGUAUUCUUGUUAAUUUCCAUCUGAUUGGAAUGAGAUGAAAUUUCAGUGUAGUUUUAAUUUGCAUUUCCCUAAUUGUUAGAGAUGUUGAAUAUUUUUUUCAUAUACUUGUUGACCAUUCAUAUUUCUUCUUUUGAGACAUGUCUAGUUAGUUCCUUUGCCCAUUUAUUGAUUAGUUUUGUUUUCUUUUGGUGUUAAGUCUUUUGAGUUCUUUGUAUAUUAUGGAUAUUAAUACCCUGUAUGAGGAGCAGGUGGCAAAGAUUUACUCCCAUUCUGUAGGUUAUCUCUUCAUGCUCUUAAUUGGUUCCUUUGCUAUGUAAUUUGCUUUGUAAUUUAAUGCCAUCCUAUGUAUUGAUUUUUCAUAUUAUUUCUUGCAUUUUAGGAAUCUUAAGGAAGUAUGUUCCUGUGGUAACAUGUUGGAAUGUUAGGUCUACAAUUUCUUCUAGCAGUUGCAGAGUUUCUGGUCUAAUUCCUAUGCCUUUGUCCAUUUUUUUUUUGUACCAGGGAUUGAACCCAGAGGUGCUUAACCACUGAAUCACAUCCCCAGCCCUUUUUUAUAUUUUAUUUAGAGACAGGAUCUCACUGAGUUGCUUAGGGCCUCAUUAAGUUGCUGAGACUGGCCUCAAACUCAUCAUCCUCCUGCCUCAGCCUCCUAAGCCAUUGUGAUUAUAGGCAUGCACCCCAAUGCCCCACUGUCUUUGUCCACUGUAAGUUGAAUUUUGUGCAGGGUGAGAGAUAUGGGUUAAAUUAAAUUUCAUUUUACUGCAUAUGGAUUUCCAGCUUUCUUGGCAUAAUUUACAUAAAAGGUUGUAUUUCCUCAACGUAUAUUGUUGGCACCUUUGUCUAGUAUGAGAUAACUGUAUUUAUGUGAGUUUGUCUUCUGUGCCUUCUAUUCUGUUGCAUUGGACUUCAUGUCUGUUUUGAUGCCAGUACCAUGCUGUUUUUGUUACUAUAGCUUUGUAGAUUAAUUUGAAGUCUGGUAUUGUGAUGUAUCUUGCUUCAGUUUUCUUGCUAAGGACUUCUUUGGCUAUUCUGGGUCUCUCGUUUUCCCAAGUGAAUUUUAUAACUGCUUUUUCUAGUUCUGUGAAGAAUGUCAUUGGAUUUUUGAGGGGAAUGACUUUAAAUCUCUACAGCACUUUUGAUAGUAUGGUUAUUUUGAUAAUAUUAAUUCUGCCUAUCUAGGAAUAUGGGAGGUCUUUCCAUUUUCAAAGGUCUUCAAAGUCUUUCUUUAGUGUUCUCUAGUUUUCAUUGUAAAGAUCCUUCACCUCUUUUGUUAUAUUGAUUCCCAAAUAUUUUAUUUUUUGAGGCUAUUGUGGAUACGAUAGUUUUCCUAAUUUCUUUUUUAGCAGAUUCAUUAUUGGAUCCAUCACUCAAAUAUGAGUGUUCAUCUUGUAUCCUGUUACUUUGCUGAAUUCAUUUAUGAGCUCUAUGGCAUACUUAAAAUUGCUGAGAGUAGAUUUUAAGUGUUUUCAUUACAAACAUGAUAAGUAUGUGAGGCAAUGCAUAUGUUGAUUGGCUUAAUGUAGUCAUUUUAUAAAGUAUACAUCAAAUUAGUAUAUCUCAAAACAUUGUACAUGAUACAGAUACACAUUUUUAAAUAUUUAUUUCUUAGUCACAGUUGGACACAAUACCUUUAUUUAUUUAUUUAUUUUUAUGUUGUGCUGAGGAUUGAACCCAGGGCCCUACAUGUGUGAGGUGAGCACUCUACCACUGAGCCACAACCCCAGCCCAAGAUACACACUUUUUGUCAGUUAAAAUUAAAAAGUAAUAUUAACUUAAUAAAACUCAAACAACUUUACACCUUAAGGAAAUUUGAAAAGAGAACAAAAUAAACCUAAUUCAAUGGAAAGAAAGAGAUUAAAACAGAUAAGUGAAAAGACAAACAGAAAAACAAUGAGAAAAAUUAAUGAAAUAAAAGUAGGUUCAUUGAGAAGAUCUAUAAAGUUCACAAAUUUUGGCUAUAUUGACAAAGAAAAUGAGAGUAGACUCAAGUUAUUAAAAGCAGAAAUUAAUGUGGAGAUCUUACUGUCAAUAUUUACAUAAAUAAAAAGGAUUAUAAGGGAUUACUAUAAGCCACUGUACAUCAAUGAAUUGGAGAGUAUAAAUGAAAUGGAAAAAUCACUAGGAUUACAGAAAAUACCAAAACUGACUCAAGAAAAAAAUAAGAAAUUGUAACAGAACUGUAACAUAUAAAUCAAUUAAUUAAGCAAAACUCUCCCAACAAUUCCAAGACCAGAUGCCUUCACUAUCAAUCAUUUAAAGAGCAAUUAACAUUUAUCUUCCUUAAACUCUUCCAAAACUUAGAAGAGGAGAAAGCACUUUCUAAUUCAUAUUGAGUCCAGCAUUAUCUUGAUAUCAAAACCAGACAAAGAUAUCACAAGAAAAUUACAGACAAAUAUCUCUUGUGAUUAUAGAUGCAAAAACUCAAAAAAUUCUAGCAAAUUAUUUCAGCAGCAUAUGAAAGAAAUUAUACAUCAGGGUAGAGUGAGAUUUAUCCCAGGAUUCCAAGGAUGGCUCAAAAUACAAAGAUAAAUCAAUGUAAUAUAGUACAAUAAUAGAAGUAAGGGAAAAUAUGUCACAAUAAUUUUAAUUGAUGGAGCAAAAGCAUGUGAAAACACUCAAAACCUUUGUAUGAUAAAAACACAUAACAUGUUAGAAAUAGAAAAGCGUUUUCUCAACCAGAUAAAGGGCUUUGAUGGGAAAAACACAGAUAAUAUGGAAUUACAAGGGCUGUGAAAAAACAAACAUAAUUCAAAGUGGAAGAGAGUUGAAGGACUCUCAUUUCUGAUUUCAAAACUUAUUAAAAAGUCACAGUGAUCAAAACAGUGGGGUAUUGGCAUAAAAACAGACAUAUAGCCAAAUGGAAUAGAAUUGAGAGUACAGAAAUAAACCCAUAUAACAAUGGCCAAAUGAUUUUUGACAAGGAUGCCAUGGCCAUUCAAUGAGAAAGGAGAGUCUCUUCAACAAAUUGUGGUAUACCUUGGUAUCUACAUGAAGAAGAGUGAUGUUGGAGCCUUUCUCACACUACAGAUCAAAAUCAAUUCAAAAUGGAUCACUGACAUAAAUGUGAGAACUGAAACUAUAUACCUCUGUAUGAGUCAGGUUCCCCUGAGAAACAAAACCUCUAUACAUAUAUCUUUUUUUUUUUAAAUUUUUUAUUGUUGGCUGUUCAAAACAUUACAUAGUUCUUGAUAUAUCAUAUUUCACAAUUUGAUUCAAGUGGGUUAUGAGCUCCCAUUUUUACCCCAUAUACAGAUUGCAGAAUCACAUCAGUUACACAUCCAUUGAUUUACAU